CCCUGGCAGUGAAAGCCUCCCCUUCCAAGAAGAGCCGGAGCGGCCCCGCCAUUCCCAGACGGAGCUGCCCGGGGGGGAUCCCAGCCCAGCUCCACGGGGGCUCCGACCCCAAAGCACAAGUGACCACCGAGGCAGACGUGGAGCAAGGAUCCCACCUCGGCCGCCCGGAUCUCCUGCCCCGGACUCUGCCCGUGGACGAAGCCAACAGCGACUCGGUGGCCACCACCCUGUCCACGUCCUCCCUGGGCAGUGGGGGCCUCAAUUCCCCUGCCAACAGGUGUCCCCCCCCUUCUGUUUCCCCAGCGGCUCCCCCGGCCCCUCCAUCCCCGAGCGCUCCCUGGAGCUGAGGGAGCAGCUCCAGGACCUGCAGGAGACAGAGAUCAGCUUUUGAAUCUGCACCGACAGCGCCGCGAUGGACCCGGGUUUGUCCCCACAAACCCUCCUUCAUCCUCUUGGUUUUUUAAAACUCUCCGGACAAAAUCCUGGAAGCUGGAAGGCCCUGGAUACACCUGGGAUGGUGUUCAAGCCCCAGGGGCACCUGGAAGUCUCCUCAAUCCCACCCUGUGGAUUCUCCUGCCUCGGAAUCCCACUGGGAAGAGGAGGAGGAGGAGGAUGGAGCUGCUCCAUGAAACCCUUGGGAAAAGGAUCUGACUUUUCAGGGAGAAAAAAACCCUCCCUGGGGAAUUCCCAGUGGGAAAAAAGGGCAUUGGAGCCUCCUCAGUGCCAGAAGAAAACGUGAUUUCUUUUAUAUCUUCCACCAGGUGGUUUUUUUUUUAAUUUAAUUGCUCCUCCCAAAUUCAAUCCUGGCCCUUUUUUUAGUGCUGCAAGUCCGGGAAUUCUUAGGAUAUUUUAUUAAUAAAAUAGGGUUUGUUUUAGGUUUUUGUUUUUUCUUUUUUCCAGUGUUUGCACCAGGAAAUAUCCCACGGGAGAGAAGGGGGAGGAGCAGAACCCAAGGAAAAGCUCCUGUCUCCCCCUCCUCCCUUCUCCACCUCCCAGGAUUUUUGGGAUCAGGGAGGAUUUGGGAAUCUCUCCCAGCCCCAGUUUUUAAGCUCCUCCCUUCCUGGGAUUUGCAGGGUGAAGGGGCACUUUUUUUAAAAAGUUUUUUCCUAAAAAAAAACCCACCAAAACCAAACCACCAAACCAGGACCAAACCCACCAGCUCCAAUCCCAUCCCUGUUUUUAUAACUCCUUUUGAUAUCCCACCUGGAUCCCGAGCGAAGCCAAAACUCCCGAGGCCGAAACGGGACAGAAAUCCCAAAAAUUUCCAGGUGUUUUUUUGGAAGCUUGAUUUUUAAAAAACAUAUUUUUGGGGUUCAGAAGGAGGGAUUUUCCUGCUGCCACGUGCCUCUGGAUACCCCUGGAUACCUUUGGACACCCCCUGAGCCUCCCAGAUCCCGGAGCAGACCUCGGACGUUUUAUUUUCACUUCAAAUGGUUGUUUUUUUAAAGGCAAAAAACCCAAGAAAAACCAAAAAAAAAAAACAGGAAUGAAGUGACUCUUCAAGGUUGGAAACUUCCCUUCUUUUUGUUUUUUCUUUUUUACAGAGCUCUGAAAAAAAAAACCCCAGGAAUUUAUAAAGAUUCCUCUGGGAAUUUUCCUCAAGGGAGCGACGAAUGUAGAGCAGAAAAGGAGUUUUUUUUUUAGUUGAUAUUCCAGAGUUUCUCUUCCCAACUCCCCCUUCUCUGGUAUUUUUUUAAGGAAAAGCUGGGGGUGGUUUUUUUUGAUUUUUAAUUUUUUAAAAAAAUGUCCUUUUUUGCUCCAAAAAGCCCACGUGGAACGGCCUUACCUUGGGGGGGUGUGGAGCAGGAGUUUGGAUCUCAAAGGGCUCCUCCAACCCUUCUCCAAUCCUGCUGGAGUUUUUUUUUUCCCCCCUUCUCCCAGCAGAUUCCCCCACUUUUCUCCCUGGAAUAACUGUCUAUAUUAGACACUUUUUUUUCCCCUUCCCUUCCCAGCUCAGAUUGGUUCCUUGUG